rnacentral:lncRNA from 1 species
AACAACACAGACAUGUAAUUUCCGGUCUGAAGAAAGACAUGUUGAUGCUUGGAUGUUGGACGUGUUCUGAUGGUUUGAUUGAUGUUUGCUGAAUGCUUGUUGAUGUCGUUGGUUGUGAGAACUGAAUUCUGCACCGAGCUGUUCCUUCGGAGUGAAAUGGCAGAGUUGCCUCGAGGUAUCUAAGGUAAGCUUUCUUGGACUGAACCUUUCAUGGAAGAUACAUCAGUUCAAUCCAAUCUCUUGUGACAUUUUGCCCCACUUCAUGAAAACUAAGAUUGUUGUUCUUGCUCCUAUGAACAUCUACUUGAUAAUAUAAUAUGUCAUGAACCUAGUGUCACUAUCAUUUAGCACUCCCUCAUUUUGUUGUAGUACGGCUAACAAAUCAAAUCAAAUCUGCCAAGGUUUUUGGUGGUGCCGAGUUAUUACAUAUGACAGAAUCUGUCUAGUCUACAUGUUUGAAUCUGUCUAGAAAAAUCUGUCAAUUCUGUCUAAACUGUGUGUCUGAAUUUGGCCAGGUCAGCAAUGUACUUGGCUCCUUUACAUUACCUAAUGAAAUGGAAUAGUGUACGAAUGGUAGCUUUCUCUUGGUUUGGACUGUGGAUUCAUUCACCUUACUCUAGUUGAUCCCAUCUUUCUUCAAACUGCAGAUGCCAUGCUAAACAGCAGCGCUGCCUCCCUACAAAUACAAUGCAAAACAGUACUACUCAUACAAUUGUCUUGCCCCAUAACUUAUUUGUGCCCUGAAGCUCCUGGCAAAAAACUCGCACUAUUUUAUUUUUUCAGAUGAACAAAACUCCAGUAGUAAUUAAGUGGUUAAUUCUCCUACUGUUCUGCAGCUCCAAUAAACAAAACAACAAACAUUUCCUUAGCCUUAGACAGAUCUGCACAUAUUUUGCAAUUUAAGCAUUCAGUACAUUUCCAGUAAUCUUACUCUGUUCAUUGUUAUUCAGUGUGGCUUGUAAGGCUGGACUGCGCAAAUACAGAAAUACCAACAUAGGUCAUCUCAUGGUUGUGUGCCUUGAGGCGAACCUACACAUACACACAACCCCAUUUGCAGUAUUUAUAACAACUCAACUUUAUCUCUCCCGAACUCCUAUAUUUAUUUUAAAUCUGGGACUACUUCGUUCCACUCCUAUAUAUAAUACAUAGGCAUCAGGCGGUUUGCUGUUGGCAAAGUGUGGCGAUGUUUUCAUGUAUUUGUAUGGGUGUUGUGGCUUACAUAGUUGCAGUGGUUUUUUCAUAUUGUAGCUCACUCUGCUGCAUCUGCUCAAGAUUAUCUGUUGGCUGUUACUUUAUUUUACUUUAUUUUGUUUUCUAAAGAUAUGUUUGGCCUGCUGUAUAACUUGCGUGACCUGAUUCUAUGUUUCACAUGUACGUAUAGUCUGCAAGAAAGCUAGCUGACUCCUUUCUCCUUUUUCUUUUUGUCGGUAAGUAACUCUUUUUUUCCUGAAACUGAACGGUAGCUAAACUGG